GACGAACGCUGGCGGCGUGCUUAACACAUGCAAGUCGAACGGAAAGGCCCUGCUUUUGUGGGGUGCUCGAGUGGCGAACGGGUGAGUAACACGUGAGUAACCUGCCCUUGACUUUGGGAUAACUUCAGGAAACUGGGGCUAAUACCGGAUAGGAGCUCCUGCUGCAUGGUGGGGGUUGGAAAGUUUCGGCGGUUGGGGAUGGACUCGCGGCUUAUCAGCUUGUUGGUGGGGUAGUGGCUUACCAAGGCUUUGACGGGUAGCCGGCCUGAGAGGGUGACCGGCCACAUUGGGACUGAGAUACGGCCCAGACUCCUACGGGAGGCAGCAGUGGGGAAUAGUGCACAAUGGGCGGAAGCCUGAUGCAGCAACGCCGCGUGCGGGAUGACGGUCUUCGGGUUGUAAACCGCUUUCGCCUGUGACGAAGCGUGAGUGACGGUAAUGGGUAAAGAAGCACCGGCUAACUACGUG
rnacentral:rRNA from 1 species